rnacentral:rRNA from 1 species
AAGUCGAGCGGACAGAAGGGAGCUUGCUCCCGGAUGUUAGCGGCGGCACGGGUGAGUAACACGUGGGUAACCUGCCUGUAAGACUGGGAUAACUCCGGGAAACCGGAGCUAAUACCGGAUAGUUCCUUGAACCGCAUGGUUCAAGGAUGAAAGACGGUUUCGGCUGUCACUUACAGAUGGACCCGCGGCGCAUUAGCUAGUUGGUGGGGUAAUGGCUCACCAAGGCGACGAUGCGUAGCCGACCUGAGAGGGUGAUCGGCCACACUGGGACUGAGACACGGCCCAGACUCCUACGGGAGGCAGCAGUAGGGAAUCUUCCGCAAUGGACGAAAGUCUGACGGAGCAACGCCGCGUGAGUGAUGAAGGUUUUCGGAUCGUAAAGCUCUGUUGUUAGGGAAGAACAAGUGCGAGAGUAACUGCUCGCACCUUGACGGUACCUAACCAGAAAGCCACGGCUAACUACGUGCCAGCAGCCGCGGUAAUACGUAGGUGGCAAGCGUUGUCCGGAAUUAUUGGGCGUAAAGGGCUCGCAGGCGGUUUCUUAAGUCUGAUGUGAAAGCCCCCGGCUCAACCGGGGAGGGUCAUUGGAAACUGGGAAACUUGAGUGCAGAAGAGGAGAGUGGAAUUCCACGUGUAGCGGUGAAAUGCGUAGAGAUGUGGAGGAACACCAGUGGCGAAGGCGACUCUCUGGUCUGUAACUGACGCUGAGGAGCGAAAGCGUGGGGAGCGAACAGGAUUAGAUACCCUGGUAGUCCACGCCGUAAACGAUGAGUGCUAAGUGUUAGGGGGUUUCCGCCCCUUAGUGCUGCAGCUAACGCAUUAAGCACUCCGCCUGGGGAGUACGGUCGCAAGACUGAAACUCAAAGGAAUUGACGGGGGCCCGCACAAGCGGUGGAGCAUGUGGUUUAAUUCGAAGCAACGCGAAGAACCUUACCAGGUCUUGACAUCCUCUGACAACCCUAGAGAUAGGGCUUUCCCUUCGGGGACAGAGUGACAGGUGGUGCAUGGUUGUCGUCAGCUCGUGUCGUGAGAUGUUGGGUUAAGUCCCGCAACGAGCGCAACCCUUGAUCUUAGUUGCCAGCAUUCAGUUGGGCACUCUAAGGUGACUGCCGGUGACAAACCGGAGGAAGGUGGGGAUGACGUCAAAUCAUCAUGCCCCUUAUGACCUGGGCUACACACGUGCUACAAUGGACAGAACAAAGGGCUGCAAGACCGCAAGGUUUAGCCAAUCCCAUAAAUCUGUUCUCAGUUCGGAUCGCAGUCUGCAACUCGACUGCGUGAAGCUGGAAUCGCUAGUAAUCGCGGAUCAGCAUGCCGCGGUGAAUACGUUCCCGGGCCUUGUACACACCGCCCGUCACACCACGAGAGUUUGCAACACCC